AGCGAACGCUGGCGGCAGGCCUAAUACAUGCAAGUCGAACGGCUCUUCGGAGCAGUGGCGGACGGGUGAGUAACGCGUGGGAAUGUGCCCUUUGGUACGGAACAACACAGGGAAACUUGUGCUAAUACCGUAUCUGCCCUUCGGGGGAAAGAUUUAUCGCCAUUGGAGCAGCCCGCGUUGGAUUAGGUAGUUGGUGAGGUAACGGCUCACCAAGCCUACGAUCCAUAGCUGGUCUGAGAGGAUGCCCAGCCACAAUGGGACUGAGACACGGCCCAGACUCCUACGGGAGGCAGCAGUAGGGAAUCUUGCGCAAUGGGCGAAAGCCUGACGCAGCCAUGCCGCGUGUAUGAUGAAGGUCUUAGGAUUGUAAAAUACUUUCACCGGGGAAGAUAAUGACGGUACCCGGAGAAGAAGCCCCGGCUAACUUCGUGCCAGCCGCCGCCGUAAUAC
rnacentral:rRNA from 1 species